UACAGAGGGUGCGAGCGUUAAUCGGAAUUACUGGGCGUAAAGCGCACGUAGGCGGCUUGGUAUGUCGGGUGUGAAAUCCCCAGGCUCAACCUGGGAACUGCGUCCGAUACUGGAUGGCUUGAAUUCGGGAGAGGGAUGCGGAAUUCCGGGUGUAGCGGUGGAAUGCGUAGAGAUCCGGAAGAACACCGGUGGCGAAGGCGGCCUGCUGGGCAGUGGCUGACACUGAGGCGCGACAGCGUGGGGAGCAAACAGGAUUGAGAA
rnacentral:rRNA from 1 species